UGAGGAAUAUUGGGCAAUGCCCGAAAGGGUGACCCAGCAACGCCGCGUGGGGGAUGAAGGUCGUAAGAUUGUAAACUCCUGUUAGAGGGGAAGAAUAACUAAGUUUGGAGCUUAGUAUGACUGUACCCUCAGAGAAAGCCCCGGCUAACUACGUGCCAGCAGCCGCGGUAAUACGUAGGGGGCAAGCGUUGUCCGGAUUUACUGGGUGUAAAGGGCGCGCAGGCGGAAUGGAAAGUCAGUGGUGAAAUCCUACAGCUUAACUGUAGAACUGCCUUUGAUACUUUCAUUCUUGAGUUCGGGAGAGAGAGACGGAAUUCCAGGUGUAGUGGUGAAAUACGUAGAUAUCUGGAAGAACACCAGUUGCGAAGGCGGUCUCUUGGUCCGAUACUGACGCUGAGGCGCGAAAGCGUGGGGAGCAAACA
rnacentral:rRNA from 1 species